UCAGAGUAUGUUACUAAAGCAUUAUUGUUUUCUUUUGGAAACAUGGUACUGCCUUAUUUUUUCAUACUUCCUGUGUCCUUACAUUGAUGUUUGCAUAUCUAGCAGAUUCAUUGUUUCUAUCACUGUUCAGAAGUGACUUUCAUUGCAAAAGGCUUUCUCUUAAAGAUGUGUCUUCAAAUACUAGCUUGGUAGGCUAUUUUGAUCUUAUUUCCAAAUGGAUUCUACAAUAUCAUAACUUUAUAUCUUUUCAACAAUUGGUGGCAGUUUCAGUGGGGGCAUAGAGUAUUACUUUCAGUCCCACCAAGGAUGCAUAAGUUUUGGUAGAAUCCUAUGGGGCAUGGGCUGGGGUCAUAGUGCACUUUCCCUCAGUCCACUAUAGUUGGAGUUGUGGAAGUGCCAGGUCAGAGACCCGGAGAGGCUGCUCAGAUAACCACAUUGGCAUGGUCAAAGGCAAGGUCAUAGCAGCAUGGAUCCUAGUCCAGCAGAAACACACAAGUCUCUGCCGUGCCAAAUCCAGGUGUCCAUGAUAUGUGUUGACACCCAGCUUUAUUUUCUUUCUCCAUGAAGACAAUUACUCCCAAUGUUAUGCUUCUUGAUUUAAGGAAAGAUUGGUUGGAGUAGUCCUAUGUCCAUCUGUGCCUUAAUGUUAUAUCACACCCACAACUCACAGCCAGCUAUGAUGCAGCACAACACAGGGUAGCACCAAGGCCUACUUUGCUGUAUGCUACCUGUUGCAUAAGACUCCAAGUCCAGUUGACUGGAGCCACAGUCUCCAUUUGGGACUGUGGUAGAUCCAGGGACUAUGUCCAAGGCACUGACUGGAGACAGGGACAUUUUAUGUCUUCUCAGUGAUGUCUUUACCAUAUCCAAAAUGCAGCCCUAUGCUCCUUUGAUACCCUACUCCCCAGUGGCUAUAGUCUUGCUCAUUGCUGUCUACCCAUGGCUGCUAAAUCAUAAAUGUAGUCCUUUGACUCCCCAAAGUGACAUUAAGCUAGGUUACACCUAAGUCAAACAGCUAUACAGGGCACUUCAUUGUCUUGUAGAUGCACACCAAGUCUUCAAGAGGCUGGGAGUUGGGCCAACAUUGUGGCAGGUAAAGCUGCUGCCUGUGAAUUCAGCAUCCUACAUGGUUGCCAGUUCAUACCCCAGCUACUCCACUUGUGAUACAGCUCCCUGUUAAUGGCCUGGGAAAACAAUGGAAGAUGGCCCAAGUAUUUGGGCUCCUGUUACUCCCUGGGUGAAUUGGAUAAAGCUCCUGGCCUUAGCCUUGCCCAGCCCUGGCUGUUGUGGCCAUGUAGGGAAUGAAUCAAUGGAUGGAAGAUCUCUCUCUCUUUCUCUCUACUUCUGAUUUUCAAAUAAAAUAAAAUAUUUUUUUUUAAAAAAGGCAGGGGCCAGUAUUGUAGCAUAAUGGGUAAAUAGUGGGUAAAGCUGCCAUCUGUGCCAUCCCAUAUGGGUAUUAGUUCAAGUCCUGCUUGCUUCACUUCUGUUCUAGCUCACAGUUAAUAUUCCUGGAAAGCAGUAGAGGAUGGACCAACUUGGCCUUCUGCAUCUAUGUUGGAGACUUGGAAGAAACUCCUGGCCCAGUCCUUGCUGUUGUCACCUGGGGCAGUGAACCAAUGGAUGGAAGAUAUCUUUCUUUGUGUCUCUACACCUUUCUCUCUACCUUUCAAAUAAAUAAAGUCAAUCUGAAAAAUAAAUAGAGAGCGAGCUUGGGGGUAAUGUGGGAUGAAAUGUUGAUCAUUCCACCAGGCCAUGGGUCUCCACCUAAUGCCAGUCAAGAUUUAGAGGCUGUGUCUGUGAGCAAACUGUGGAAGCAUUUAGGCUUUAGGUGGUGCUGAGUCUCGCCAGGAGAGCACUGAGCUUCAAAGCAGAGUCCUAAGUUCAUUUUCUCACCUUAUUUUCCAAAAGCUUAAGUCUUCCUCUGCUGUCCAUUGAAGGUCAAGGGAGGGAUGGUGAAUGUGGUCCCUUGAUCACGUGGUUAAGGAUAGACCAAAGAUUCAGUCUACAAGUAGAAGCGUGGGGGAAAAAGCUAUGAGGUUCUGUCUGAUGUUCGGUUUUGCCAAAGCAAGGUUUAUACUGGGUUCAAGUCUAAGGUCUGGACUUUACUCCCUUUCCCUCCUCCAAGCAGGAGGUGUCUCUCCACACUGAACUAAAUGGAGCUAAUGGAGGGGUAACAAAGCAAUUAUUCCCUUCCUUAUUGUGAUGGUGACUUGGUACAUGAAGAGCUGUUCAAAUUGUUGUCUUUGUGGGGAGAUGUUCACUGGAACUCCUUACCCAGGCACCAUCUUGCUCCACUUUCCAGCAAGCCCUCUUUGUUUUAGGUCAGUGUUUAGGUUACACUGAAGGGUUCUGGCUGAUGCAAAGGGACAAAGGAGGGAAUGAAAAUAGAUAGGAGACAUCCUGAAACCACAAGGCUUUGCUUAAAAGAAGGGAAGGAAGAUGAAAUUCACAUAAAUGCAAAGCAAAGUCACAUUUUGAAGCAACAUUCCCAAACCUCCAAGGCUGAUUUCCAAGGAAAACAGGAGGUUUAGGCUGAGGGCUAGCAUUCCAGAAAGUGCUCUAAUUAACUGUUCUAAUUAAAAUUGCUUUUAGGGUGACAAUGACCACUUUGGAGUCUUGGAUUUGGAAUUUCUAUCCUAGGAGGACCUUUUUGUUGUCAUUUGGUCUUUGAACCACUUGUUCUCAGAAUUUAGGUUGAUGGUAGUUAUGAAGUGAUUUCCUAAUGAAUCAAUAUAGAGCAAUUAUCUCAUGACUCCUAUAUUCUAGUUCCAGUAAAUCUUGCUUCAUUUAACUUACACUAUAUAUCAAAUGUAUUGUGCAAAACUAGUGAACCUUUUAACAGAAUAAUUAUUAAGAAACUUAAAACUUUCUUAUGUGCUUUUAGAAAUUAUUGAAAACAUGAUUUAAUUGAUGUCCAUUGUUAGAUUUAUGCUUCUGUCUUUUGCAACUAACAAAUGCAUUUGCAAUACCAAUAAGAUUUGCUUUUGUAAGACUUUAGCUUUUGUUCUUUACACAAUCCCCUUUCAGUCCAGAUUCUUCUGACCAUCAUAAGAACAAACGACCUCAGCCCACAGGAGGCCUCAUUAAGAAUAUUAAGCUACUAGUGAGGGAAAUACCCUGAGGACCUGAAUUGUAGGGGAGAGAUGAUGCAUCAGAAUGGGGUUGAGGAAGUGGUAUGCAGCAAUCAUGCCUAGCACAGUGGUAUGCUGGAUGGUGCCUUAGCACAGCUGCCCACAGUGUCAGGCAAGAUCAACUAGAGAUCAUCCUGGUCAGUCAUAAAUACUUUCAGUUCAAAUUUUGAAAGAAUAUGGCAUGGGUAGCUUUCUUUAAAAUGUAAUUUUUAAGAUAAAAAGCAAAUAUCAUUAUAAUGUCAUUAGAACUGUGAGUAAAAAUGAAAGAACAGUAUCUAUUCAUGUGUUGGCAUCCUCUCAUAAGGAUGGGGACAGUAAAAUGUCUUCACAACUAAAAUUAAUGACUUCAAGCCAGCAUGACUAGUUUCAUCCAUGCAGAUAAGUAACCAUGUAGUGAUGGCUUUCAUUUAGUGAAUGACUAAUUUUCUGGUUCUAAAGGUGAAAGUGAGGUUAAGUUGUUGAAAAAAAAAAAAAGACUUAGCAGAUCUGAGUAAAGGAAAAUUAGUACUUAAAAGCUUUCUUACUGCCUCUGUUACCCUGGAUGAUGUCUGAGAUGAAGGCAGGAGCCUUGGCUUAGCCAUGGUCACAAGUCGGCUAUGCUGAAUCUGAAUCCACAAGAUGGGGAAUGGAAUGGGGAGUUAAUAAUGUCUGAGCAACCCAUGGGGUCCUCUAGGUGCAGUGAAUUUGUCUUAUUUAAUUAAAGGAGUCUCACUUUUGUCAUCUUUAGAUUGUUUUCGAAGCUCUCAUUACAUGCUCUUCCCUUGAGAGACACCUCAGACACUUUUUCUAAGUUUACCAACUAUCAUCACUUGUUAGAAAUGAGGGGUCACUGGGACCCAAACUUUCUGUUACCAAAACCAGGAUGGUGUCUAUCACAGCUGGUCACUCAAGCUUCUCCUUUGACUUCUGCCAGGAAUGAUCCAGUGUUGUCUUACCUCUUAAAAAAAAAGCCAGACUUUCAUCAGUAAAGACUGAUUUUCACAACAAAUCCAUAACUUCACUCACACACUCUUAAAUCCAACAUGGUAUUUGGGCUUACAUACACCACUGAAUUGGACCAAGGUUGCACCAUCAUGUUCGUGCUUUUGGUUCCAAUCAAGAAGGGCAGAGAGUUGGUUAGGGAGGAAAGAAGAUACUUGGGAAGGUUAAAAGAAAAGAUGAGAGACAAAAAGAAAUGGGGCUUGUGAUUUGGGAGAUGGAGUGAGGGGCAGAUUUUGAGAGCAGACGGAGAUAUUAGAAGCCACUGCUCUGAUGUGAGUGAAAAUUGGAAAUAAUUUUAAGAGCUUUGCCACAUGUUCUGAGUGGAGUGGAAUUCCCCUUUUGUCCAAGAGACUUCUUUAAUGAUGCCACCUGCUUAACAGUGAGUACUAUGUUGGGUGCCAAGAUGCAACCCAAAAAGUCGCAGUCGUUGAGUUGUGCUUCCAUGUCCUCAUGUCGUGCUCUCUUGCAGUAGGUUUUUGAAUUCCCUAUUCUCUAACUGCUGUCCAUGAGCCAUUUCCCAGAAUAUAUCUACACGGUGUUGGAAUGGACUCAGUGUAUCAGCCUUAUGUCAAAUAUUGCCUUCCAUGAUCAACGAAGCCAGAUUAAAAACUCAAACCUAUCUAGCAUUGCUCCAAGGAAUAUUUGUGAGCUAAUUGGCAAUGCUUGCUGGAGAACCAAGUGACACUUCCAGCUGAGAAAGACUGCCUUGAUUGUUCCAAGAAAGGAACACAUCCCAUGCAAAAAUGUGACAAAAGCAACGAGAAUUUCUACAGCAAAGGAAGAAGGCCAGAGGGGGAUAGAAAUUACAAUAAUAAUAAAAGAAGACCAAAUCUUUAUCCAUGAUAACUGUUUCAAAUGCCCAGACUGCUACUUUCUGUCAAAACACAUUCCCUUGAAACUCAUGACUAUCUACAUGAAAGCUUAGAAUUUAUUUUGACAUUAUCUUUUAUUCAGGUUAUAUAUUUUUAAUUCCCAAGCAUAUAAAACAGUGGAGAAAAAAUUGAAGAAAAAAUUUUAUAUUUCUUGAUUUUUAAAGGUAGCAGAAUUAUUCUAGUGGAUCUACCACAGGGGUAUAAUGAGAGGUAACAUGUGAGAUGUUAAUGGCUUCAUACUUACAUUGAUGGGAUUCACAUAACAUGAGCAACAUAAAACACAUUCUAUAAGCUGCAUUUCAGUGUAUGGGACAUAUGACCCAGCAUACUGUGUUAAUCUGUUCAGGCUGCUAUAAUAGAAUGUCAUAGCCUGAGUGGCUUAUAAGCAACAGAGAUUUUUUGCUCACAGUUCUGGAGGGUGCAGAGUACAUGGCCAAGGUGUGAGCAGUUUUAGUAUCUGGUGGAGAUCUGCUUCCUAGUUCAUCAGACAUACCUUCAUCCUCAUCAGCUAAUCAUCCUCAAAACCCUACCACGUAAUUUCAUGUCGUGUGAUCAGGCUUCAGCAUAGGAAUUGGGGCUGAGGGUAUGAGAGUGGGAGAACCAAACGUGCAGACCAUAACAUGUGCCUCGGGUUGAGAACUUCAGUUCUUUAGGAGAAAAGUGAAGAGGCCAGGGAGUAGUUGGGUGUGAGAUGUAUUCCUUCCUCACAAAAAGAGCAAAUGCAAACCUUUGGAGACAAGGUGAACAUGGUAGAAGAAUGCUUACCAUGAAAAUCAGGACGCAAAAAAGGGGGAGGAGCAUCAGUGCUAUGGUGCAGCAAGUUAAGCUGUCGCCUGUAGCACCAGCAUGCUAUAUGGUCACUGGUUCAAGUCCUGGCUGCUGUACUUCCAAUCCAGCUCCCAGCUAAUGUGCCUAGGAAAGCAGUGGAGUAAGGUGCAAUGCUUGGACCCCUGCACCCAUGUGGGAGAUCUGGAUGAAACUCCUGGCUCCUGGCUUCAGCGUGGCCCAACCCUGUUGUGGCCAUUUGGGGAGUGAACCAGCAGAUGGAAGAUCUCUCUUUCUCUGCUUCUCUCUCUCUCUCUCUCUCUAAUUCUGCCUUUCAAAUAAAUAAAUCUUUAAAAAAUUAAAAUCAGUAAGUAACUAAUGGCUUAAUGAUGGUGAGCCAAGUUGCUCAUUUUAUCAACUAAGGGCAGCCUCUUUCAUCACUUUCAGCGCUCCAAAGCAUAUGUGGGGGCAGGCAUUGUGGCAUAACAGAUUAAGCAGCCACCUAGGAUGUCAGCAUGGCCAUAUGGGUGCUGCUCUACUUCUGAUCCAGCAACCCAUUAAUAUUCCUCCUCAGAAGGAAGCAGAAGAUGGCCCAAGUGUUUGGGCCCCUGACACCCAUGCAGGAGAUCUGGAAGAAGCUCUUGGUUCCUGGCUUCAGCCUGGCCAGCCCUGGGUUUUGUGGCCCUUUGGGGAGUGAACCAGCAUAUGGAAGAUCUCUCUUCCUGUCUCUCCUUCUCUCCGUGUAACUCUGCCUUUCAAAUAAACAAAUCUUUUUAAAAAAGCGAAUGUGCAUAAGCAUCACCAGAAGCAUGCAAAUUGUUAAAAAUGCAGAUUCUCAGGCAGCACCUCUAGGGAUUCCAUUCCAGUAAAUCCCAGGUGGCUCCAGGCAGUCUGCAUUCAACACAAGCACCCAUCUUCUCUAGUUACAGUGAGGUAAGGCAGAGGAGCUGAGGCUGCGCUUGGAGCAGCAUUGGAUUCUUUCAUAAAAGCCACACAAUGAGACUGACAUUCAGAAUAGUCAUCCUACAUGGAUGCUCUUCAGAUUACACCCUUUGUCCUUUGUAAAAUGAUUUAGGUUUUACACACUUGGUCAGAAGAUCACAGCCUGGUAAGAAGAGAUGAUAUGAGGACAGAGGCCCUGACAGCCUCCCCAACACUUACAAGAUAUCUGUAGAAGCUCUGGAAGUCACUAACAGCUUCAUCUUCCAAAGUAAAUCUUUCCCCUCCCUUCUCUUUCUAAUGCCAAAAGAGAUCCACUGAGCCCUCUUCUUGUAAGUCCAACUCCUAAACAUCUCUCCGUGGUGCCCUGACCAUCAUCCCCCGGCCUGGACUGAGAACGUGGUCUGACUUUGCUUCAAAGCACCAACUUUCCUACCUCUAAUAUACAUCAUUUUACCUGCAAUAAGGGCUGUCUUGCUAACCCCCUCCUCAACUUGAUAAUUUUAAAAAACACACCAACACUGACCUCUUACAAAAUGAUGUUGAACACUCUCUUGGUAUCAAAGCGAUGCUCAGAACUUCCCUGUCGAGACUCAACAUUGCCUGAGCAUGAAUUUCCUACUGAUUUUUUUCUUUGGCUUAUGGAACAAAUGAAGGCAACAAGACAGUGGUGAGGUUUUGAGUUUCUGUGACUUAUUAUUGGUUAUUUACUAUUAGUCUAAAAGGGUUGUGGCUAUCUGACCCAGCCCUAUGAUUCUUAUCAUGAAUUUCUGUGCAAGUAAAUUGAAGAAUCUCUUCUUCAUUGUGAAAAUAACUGGUCAAGGCUACUGAGUUCCCAUUAUCCACUCUGGAGCUGGCAGUCUUGGUGGCCAGACUCAAAGAGUCCCAGAAGUCAAUGGCAAAGUCAAGGCUUCAAUUCUGGAAUCCACAGGAGGUAGCGCACUAAUUCGCAUCAUUCCCUCAUCUUAGGAAGCCACACACACACAGAUGUGUUCUGGAGGAACUUCGAAAUAUAAAAAUAUGCUGGCUAUAAUUUAGAGUUUACAAUAUUGCCCAUGUCACCACCAAGAGAAAGGUCAUCUUUGUCUCACAUGGAAGCUAACUUUUUACUUUAGCAGUUUAUUAAGUUAAUUUGUUUCCAAUAGCAAACAAAAAUCAAACCUUAAAUCUAGAUCAAGAGGGAUAUGGGAGGCAAGAGAGAGAGGGAGAGGGAGAAAAUGUAAUACAAAGAUGCUUUCAAAAUAUUGCAAUUUGUCUGGAAAUCAGAGAUGGGAAAAUAUCCAAGCUCAGCAACCCAUUUAAGAACUCUAUAAUUGGACUCCUUAACUCUCAGGGCUUCCUCCUAUUGAUUUUAUUUUGACAGUAAGAAACUGAAGUUUCUAUUUUUUUUUUUUUUGACAGAAGUCAUAUUUUCUUUUCUUGCUUUUAAAAAAAAUGUGCUUUAUUUAUUUGAAAGGCAGGCACAGGGAGAGACAGAUGGAGAUCUCCUAUCUAUUGGUUCACUCCCUAAAUGCCUGAAACAGCUGGGGUUGGGCCAGGACAAAGCUGGGGACUGGGAACUUUAUCAUGGUCCCCUAUGUGAAAGGAAGGACCCAACUACUUAGCUAUCACCACUUCCCACAGGAAGCACAUUAGGAGGAAGCUGGAAUCAGGAGCAAAUCUGUGACUCGAACCUACAAGCUUUGAUACGGGCUGCAAGUAUCCCAAGCAGCAUCUUAGCCAUGGCACUGAACUCCUGCCCCUGAAGUUUCAAAGUAACACACAGAUGUAUUUCACACAUAAUUUGCAUAUUUUCAGCAGUCUUCCUGGCUCCACCUUAAAGGCUGUGUAACCCUGGGUAAGGGACUUUUCCUUUUUUCUCACUUUCCUUCCUCUCUAAGAUAUCCCCUCUACAGCAAUGUGAGAACUGUGAUAGUUCAUAUAGAGGUAUUCAAUAAUUAACUAAAAUUAUUAUGUGCAAAUGUGGGCGAAGAAGCCCAGAGGAAGACAGAGGCUCUGCCCUUAUGGGGAUUACAGUCUAAUGGAGGAUACUCAUAUUAAACAAUCGCUCAUAACUGUUUCUCCACAAUGUUCACUGGCACUAUGAAAGAGGAAUGUGUACAAUGUGCUAUGAUGCGGUUGCCAAGAGGACUGUGAGGAGGCAGAGAGGAUUUUCCCAAUGAAGGGAUUACAGACUGAAACUUGAAAAAGGGUGAAGAGGUUCUGCCAAGGACAAGGCAGAACCUGAGUGAAAGAAUAUAGGAAUGUAAGACAAUCGAGUUAAAGAAUGGCAGCAAGUGAGAGACAUGGCCCUGAACUACUAUCCCAUGGCUGAAGGAUUGAGUCAGGCAUCCCAGUUCAGUUAAGGAAAGCAGCUUUGCCUUGUAGCCCAGGCUCAGAAGGGGGUAACACUUUUGUAACAAAAUAAGCUGAAAUUUAUACUCAAAGGACAAAUAUAAACAGGGAAGAGCCAAAAAGGUUUUGGGAACAACAUCAAUCUUCAUUGGGCAAAAUAUAUUUGGGUUUCUUUCCUUUUACUUGUUUUUAAUUUUUUUUUGGUUGUCUAUUCUGUAGAUUUAUGGAGAAAGCUACAAAAUGCAACCCAGAUGUUUUCCCUCCCAAGCUCUGAAGAUCUGAAGCUGACCUUUCCCUCCAUCAAGGAACAGAGAAGAGAAUGGUCUUGACUCACUGCAGACCCUGGAAAGCUUCAAAAGGCACUGGAGGCUGUCCCCAGAAUGGGUACCUUCCAACUGAAUGACUCAUCCUUGCAGAGAGCGCCUGCCAGCACGAGUGGAGUCCCAGCCUGCUGGUUACAGGUCAUUGGACCGGCACUGUGACAUAGUAGGCUAAGCUUCCACCUGUGGUGCCAGCAUCUCAUAUGGACGCUAGUUUGUGCUCUGCUUCUGAUCUAGCUCUCUGCCUGUGGACUGGGAAAGCAGUGGAAGAUGGCCCAAGUGCUUUGGGCCCCCACAGCCACAUGGGAGACUUGGAAGAAGCUUCUGGCACCUGGCUUCAGACUGGCCCAGCUUCAGGCAUUGCAGACAUUUGGGGAGUGAACCAGCAGGUGGAAGAUCUUUCUUUGUGUCUCAUCCUCUCUGUGAGUCUACCUCUCAAAUAAAUAAAUAAAUAAAUAAAUUCUUUAAAAAAUCCAGCUCCACGAAAUUCAUUUAUUUUGUUAAUAAGCAUGCUUGUAUGUGUGUGUGUGUGUGAUUACUUUAAGAAAUAUAUAUAAUUAAGCUUUUUAGAUAGUCUAUUUAGUAGAAUGUUAAAGUUUGGGAACACUUAUUCUAAAUAGUCACAGUCUUGUCAUGAUUAACAUCCUAGUGGCUAGGAAACUAACUGCCAGCUGUCCAAUAAAGUCCUUAUGUUUUGGCAGUAAUGAGGACCAUGAGUGAAUUUUUAUUUGAGAACUAGAAAGAAGAGUUAGUUCUGAAAGUACUUUGAGUAGGGUCGGAUUUUGAGGGCAAAGCAUCUUGGAAGACUGAAAGAGUGAGAGCAGCUGAGAAUCUUUCUUAUGUGGCAGCAUUGGCCAACAUGCUGAGGACAGAUGCUGAGCCCCUAAAAUGUUCCUCUGGUUGUCAGCCUGGGUCUCCAGUUGCAAGCUGUGUUGUCAGGUCCUGUCACUGUGCCUGUAAACUUCAACUUUCCAUCUGAACUGAGUUCCCCCAAUCCUCCCCACUGAGCCCAAUCUUCUUCAACCUGACAUUUAAUCCCUCCACUCCCACUCCUUCCAGAAAGAGAAAGAAAGAGGGUGAGAUGGGAGAAAAACAUUAAAGAGAUGAAAUAUAAAAGAAAAAGAUGUUACUACACCAGUUUCUAUCCAUGGGGCAAAAAAGUUUAAUUCAUCCUGUUACUGGUUUCCCAUCCCUUGAUCAAAUACUUUUUCCUUUACUGGAUAUAUCUAAUAGUUAAGCCUUUCUUCUCCAGGGACAAGAAUCCUCUUGACUAUAUUCCCUCUCUUUAAUAGUUCUCAACUCUGUGCAUAGACUAGCCUGGUAAACUUCCACCAGCAACAGUAACAUCAGUCAUCAGUUAAGUGCCACUUGGUGUGCCCAUACCCUAUAUUGGAGAGCCUGAGUUUGAGUGUCAGCUCUGUUUCCAAUUCCAGCUUUCUACUAAUGUAUAAAGUGGGAAGCAGUAGGUGAUGGCUCAAGUAGUUGGGUCCCUGCCACCCACAGGAGAGACCUAGAUUGACUUCCAGGCCCCUGAAUUUGUCCUCGCCCAGCACUGGCUGUUGUGGGCAUUUGUUGAGUUAUCCAGUGGUUAGGAGAUCUCUCUCUCUCUCUCUCUCUCUCUCUCUCUCGUGCGCAUUUCUUUCAAGUUAAAUAAAUUUUCAAACAGAAAGAAACAUUGCCAUCUAGUCCAAUAAAUCUAUGGUAGGAGGAGGAGCACAGAAUCAGUCUUUAGAAGCAUCCUAGAGUCAAAACUGUAUUUAGAGGGUCUCUUGAAUAUUUUAUUAUAAUCAGAUUGCAUAGAAGCCUAGCAGAAUAGAAAGAAGUCAAAGGUGUAGGUGGAAAUGGUAUUGGAAGGACAGAAUAAAUGAAAGAGAGAAAAAGGAAGGUCUUCUUUUGAUUCCUACAAAGAUUCAGGAAUGCAAAGGGAUGCAGCUUGAGUUAGGAUCAGGGUAUCACCUUUUAUAAGUCAAACAGGUAUCAUUAGGACUAGUGCCUGGCUCUUCUGAACCCUAGUUCAUUGUUUUUGAAUCUGGAGUACUCAGAAGGGUAAACAAAACUUGAAUCAGAUUCCAGGUCAAGCAGAGAAGAAUCGGAAGCAGAUGGUUCUAAACUGGGAGAUUGGCUUUGGAAAUCCAGAAUUCUGGUCCCUCCCAUUGGUGCUGGGGUCACAGACAGACCACUUUGGAUUUCUGGGGCAGGGUUCUGAACAAACAAGGCCAUGAAGGUUCCAGGUAUGAGCAGUCACAUUGCCUAAGGUUCAAGGCAGCAGCAGGCAGUGCCCUCCUGCAAGUCUCAACUCACCAAGGAACUUCCUGCUGCCUGUACUAGUCUGAAACAAACCUGCCAAGUCCCCCAUGAGAUCCCUACAUGGACUAAGGUAUCUCUAAGAACAUAAAUUGGAACAUGGAGCAAACUGACAGUCUGGAAAAACAUUAUCUGCUAGUAAGUUAAUGGAAUAUUAGAAUGUGCACUAGCAAGCAUGCCUUUACUUAAUUCUGCAGCUUAAAGGUAAAAUAUGAUGAAUGAGUUAAGGUUUGAAGACCUUCUUCCUCAAACAGAAUUGAAAAUCUAUAAACACAAAACCCAAAUGCUUUUGAUUUAAACAAAACUACUAGCGUGACUUUCCAUUGGCAGGUGGUGUAUGCUGAUGGCUUUCCACUAAAAGUGUUCAGUCUGUUGACCCACUUCCAUGAUCUUCUCCUGUCCCCUUGUGGUCAAUGGGUGACAUUUACCCCAUGGCACAAAACAGAGCAAGUGGGGAUGACAGCUGUGCUCUCCUCUCAUCUGGAAAAUGCUCAAUUUAGACAGCGCCGUGACCAAGAGACCCCUAUUAUUUGAUGCACUCACAAUUAGCCUCCUCUAGUCUGCAAAGACACAGAAUCUACAAAUGACCUUUAAUCAUCCAAGAAAGGAAAUUUGAGGAAAUGGCACCCCCUGCUGGUACAUUUUAUCAUCAUCAAAAUCUAAUUAAUCUCCCAGAGCCAAAGGAAGAGAGACAUAGUGCAGAGGAGACACACAUGCACAAGAGUGAUGCUGCCAGCACAACUUCUGACAGCUCUAGAUCUUCACCUUGCUGAAGUGGUACUGCGGCCUGAUACAGUGUUUUCUUUUAGGCUGUCACCCCCUCCUUUCUUUGCUGUAACCUAAGUACCACCAAGAAUGAAACUAGGUACUGCCUUUAGAUCCCUGUGUACUCCUGAAGAUAUUCUUUCAUUUUUGGAGGGAAAGACAAACACCACAGCUUCUUAUCCUUAGUUUGUAGAUCUCCCACUUAGAGAGAGAUAAGGGGAGAGAGAGAGAGAAGGAGAG